UACGUAGGGUGCGAGCGUUAAUCGGAAUUACUGGGCGUAAAGCGUGCGCAGGCGGUUUUGUAAGCCAGAUGUGAAAUCCCCGGGCUUAACCUGGGAAUGGCAUUUGGGACUGCAAGGCUUGAGUGCGGCAGAGGAGACUGGAAUUCCUGGUGUAGCAGUGAAAUGCGUAGAUAUCAGGAGGAACACCGAUGCGAAGGCAGGUCUCUGGGCUGACACUGACGCUCAUGCACGAAAGCGUGGGGAGCGAA
rnacentral:rRNA from 1 species